GAUGAACGCUGACAGAAUGCUUCACACAUCAGCAAUUGAUUGGUGGCGGACGGGUGCGUAACUCGUAAAUAACUUCCCUCACAGUUAGGGACAACAUUUGGAAACGAAUGCUACUACAUAAUACUGUGAGAGAGCUGUGCGUCCCAUUAGCUAGUUGGAGAGGUAACGGCUCACCAAGGCGAUGAUGGGUAGCCGGCCUGAGAGUGUGAUCGGCCACAAGGGGACUGAGACACGGCCCUUACGCCUACGGGAGGCAGCAGUGGGGAAUAUUGGACAAUGGACCAAAGUCUGAUCCAGCAAUUCUGUGUGCAAGAUGAAGUUUUCGGAAUGUAAAGUGCUUUCAGUUGGGAAGCGGUACCAACAGAAGAAGUGACGGCGAAAUACGUGCCAGCAGCCGCGGUAAUAC
rnacentral:rRNA from 1 species